rnacentral:tRNA from 1 species
CUAUAUAUCGAUAUAUUUAUCAUCCUUGGUAAGGAUGAGGUCGUGCGUUCGAAUCGCAUUAGCAGCUCCA